UUAAAUUUUUCGCGUCGAUUUUGCUUGUGUGCAGUUUUUAUCGCGUUCUUCAUCAAUUUUAGAUACCUUGCUUUUUAUCGUUCCGGCCACCAGAUUCGUUGGUUUUCAUAAAGUUUCAUUUGCCUGUGCCACUUCCACCCGUGUUUAUAAGGCGUAAUAUUCAACUGGAGAUACCUUGCUUUUUAUCGUUCCAGCCACCAGAUUCGUUGGUUUUCAUAAAGUUUCAUUUGCCUGUGCCACUUCCACCCGUGUUUAUAAGGCGUAAUAUUCAACUGGAGAUACCUUACUUUUUUAUCGUUCCGGCUGCUGUAUUAUCCGAUUCUUGUGUGUUGGUUGGUAUAUCGGAAGCUUUAGUGCAAG